UCCAGAAUGAAAGAAGUGUUGCGACUGUUGGGACUCCUCUAGGACUCUUAGAGACUGGCUUGAGAAAUAAGGAGCCUCCUGUCUGGAAAGGUUUGAGCCAGGGCCAGGCCACUGUCUGCUUGUGACCACUUUGCAGACCUACUUCUUUCUGGAGAUGAGUCCAAGCAGACAUCUGUUGGACACCAGGAAAGGCCAUUCAUUUGACGGUGUGGAAAUCCCACAAUCUGGCCUGCAUUCAGGAGGCUGAGGCAGGAGGAUGACAGGUUUGAGACCAGUUUGGGCUCUGUAGCCAGACUUCUGUAUGAAAACAAAACAGCCUACAACCCAAGAGGCUCACUCCCCCACCCCCACUCCACCCCCACUCCACCCCAACUCCCCAACCCAGGACCAGAAAAUGUUAGAGCAAAGCCUGCAGCUGCUCACAGCCCUAGCCCAUGUUGUCUUAUUCUCAAUCAUGGCAAGUGUCGCCCCCUAGAAGCAUUUCGGGCUGUGACUUUCAUGAAGCCUAUACUUCAGAGUCAAGACAGUCUCUGGGACCUAUCUUGGCUCUGCCGGUGACCAGCUGAGAGACGGUAGUGGGGUGGCAGUUACAGAGCAAGAGGCCAGCUGCAGAGCCUGGCUGCAAGUCAGGUUGGAUGUGAUGGAGCUGGACAAGGGCAAUGGCAGAAGAUGAAGAUCUGGGACCUAUUAGCCACACAGAGAGAUUCAGUAGAGAAGCUAUGGAGAGCACAAUUGCCACUCCUGUUUGCUGGGAAAGGAAUCUGCCCUGGGAAAGCUGUAGAAAGGGAUGGAUGACUUAUAAGCUGAAGCACAUACCAGGGAUGCCAGUCAAGAUUGCGUGACUCUGCUAAGGGCCGAUCGGGAACGAGAUAAGUUUUACUCAGGGGUGCUGGGAUCACAGACCCUCGCCACCACAUCCAGCUUGUUGUAUGGACUCCUGGGCCCAAACUCCGGCAACCGGAAGUAGUUUUGCCUGCUGGGCUCUCGCCUGACUCACACCUCACCUUAAAGGAUAUAAAUAAGUGUGGGCAGCACAUAUCGCUAGAACUGAGGAGCUGUGGUUUUGUUGUGUACUCUUCACAGAGGAUGUCGGUGUAAACACUGGUAAUCAUGACAAGUUCCUGGACAUGUUCUAUGAGCCGGGCGUAGAGCCAAGCCCUUACAAAUAUCUAUCCUUUAACCCGUAAGUAGCCCUGCCAGGACAUUCGCUUUUCAGAUGAGGCCUCAAAAGAUCAGGGGACUUGCCCUUGCCGGCGAUCACACACCUUUGCCUACACAAAUGGCAGACAUUCAUUCAUCACCUACAAUCAAAGCAGCUCCACCCUCAGUUGGCUCCAUCUGAUUCAGAAUUGUUUGACUCCGUGGUUCUGAGCCUGGCUUCUAUCACUGGGGAACUUGAAGAAACCCUGGAGCCUGGCCUCCAUCCUGAGAGAUUAUGAUGCAAUCAGACCGGGGUAUGGCCUGGACAUGGGGACUUUCUGGAGGACCCCAGGUGGCUCUAAUGUAUCGCCAAAGGACUGCUGCCUCCUUUAGGGGUGACUUUAGGGGUCUCCUACCCUUUCUCAGGUGUCUUCUCUGCUGCCUGAAACUCAGUCCAUGGAAGAAGAAAUCUCUUGGUGGUGUGCAAACUAUAAAUGGCGUAGAAUGUGGAGAGAAAGAGCACAUCUGUGUAGCUUCCCCGGGGUCCAUCUUGCCCUGCUUUCUGACAUUUAUUUGUUUAACACAACUGAGUGACAGCACAGCUUCCUUCCCAGAAGACACCACUGUGCUCGGAGGGUUAUGAAGCAACUCUAAGUCAAUUUAUGAGGUGUCGACAAGCCGAGGCCAUGGAGACCAGCAUUUUACCGCAAAGUCGUCUCCUGUGAUCAGCUGGAGGCUUAUCUUCAGUACAGGGAGAGAGCCCAAUCAUUUCCUUUCCUUUACAGUUCACCGUGGAGCCACCGUAUUUCAAGGGCGCUCUGUUCUUGUUCCGGUGGUUACCAACUGAUUGACAAGGUUUUAUAGUUCUGGGAACAGAGAAGAAGUGGAAAUUCCAAGGAAGAGACAGGAGACUUACAAAGGGCUUUUAAUGAGAUACAGGAGUGAGUGAGCAGCAGUGGAGCAUCCUGCAGUCAGACAGAAGGGCGUGGCCAGGAAGUUGGUCCUGGGUAACUACUCUUGACUUUCAGAUGUUUUUCCAAAGUCAGGGCUGAGGGCCUCACAGCUCUGGAACCUCAUCAGGCCAUGAUGAUUGCACAAAUCACCAACAUUUAGCCUGAGCCCAGUCAGGCCCCAACCCAACUCUUCUGAAUGUUACAACUUGCACAUUUGAGGUCAAGCUCAAUUGGAUACAAAGAGGAAGGAUAUUCCCGAAAGGGCAAACUUUUUCCAGGAACACUUUGGCACACAGCCCUCCUUAUGCUUUCACUUCAGUUUGUGUUUGGGAACACAUCCAAAGUGAGGAACCAGAAAAAACAAAACAAAACAAAACAAAAAACUAAACUACUCAGGGGGCUGCGGAGACAGCUCAAUUGGUACCUGCCGCACAAGCACGAGGACCUGGAUUUGGAUCUCCAGUAUCCACAUAAAAGCCUGACCCAGGAGAUUGUGUCCAU